UAGGGAAUCUUCGGCAAUGGACGAAAGUCUGACCGAGCAACGCCGCGUGAGUGAAGAAGGUUUUCGGAUCGUAAAACUCUGUUGUUAGAGAAGAACAAGGACGUUAGUAACUGAACGUCCCCUGACGGUAUCUAACCAGAAAGCCACGGCUAACUACGUGCCAGCAGCCGCGGUAAUACGUAGGUGGCAAGCGUUGUCCGGAUUUAUUGGGCGUAAAGCGAGCGCAGGCGGUUUCUUAAGUCUGAUGUGAAAGCCCCCGGCUCAACCGGGGAGGGUCAUUGGAAACUGGGAGGCUUGAGUGCAGAAGAGGAGAGUGGAAUUCCAUGUGUAGCGGUGAAAUGCGUAGAUAUAUGGAGGAACACCAGUGGCGAAGGCGGCUCUCUAGUCUGUAACUGACGCUGAGGCUCGAAAGCGUGGGGAGCAAACAGG
rnacentral:rRNA from 1 species